rnacentral:misc_RNA from 1 species
AACCAUAGAAACCUGCGGAGUACCUGCGGAAGGAUCAUUACAGAGUUGCAAAACUCCCUAAACCAUUGUGAACGUUACCUAAACCGUUGCUUCGGCGGGCGGCCCGGGUCCUUCCCGGCGCCCAUCGGCCCUCGCGGGCGCCCGCCGGAGGUAAACCAAACUAUUGCAUUGUAUGGCCUCUCUGAGUCUUCUGUACUGAAUAAGUCAAAACUUUUAACAAUGGAUCUCAGAUCGGAAGAG